rnacentral:rRNA from 2 species
GACGAACGCUGGCGGCGUGCCUUAAUACAUGCAAGUCGAACGAACUCUGGUAUUGAUUGGUGCUUGCAUCAUGAUUUACAUUUGAGUGAGUGGCGAACUGGUGAGUAACACGUGGGAAACCUGCCCAGAAGCGGGGGAUAACACCUGGAAACAGAUGCUAAUACCGCAUAACAACUUGGACCGCAUGGUCCGAGUUUGAAAGAUGGCUUCGGCUAUCACUUUUGGAUGGUCCCGCGGCGUAUUAGCUAGAUGGUGAGGUAACGGCUCACCAUGGCAAUGAUACGUAGCCGACCUGAGAGGGUAAUCGGCCACAUUGGGACUGAGACACGGCCCAAACUCCUACGGGAGGCAGCAGUAGGGAAUCUUCCACAAUGGACGAAAGUCUGAUGGAGCAACGCCGCGUGAGUGAAGAAGGGUUUCGGCUCGUAAAACUCUGUUGUUAAAGAAGAACAUAUCUGAGAGUAACUGUUCAGGUAUUGACGGUAUUUAACCAGAAAGCCACGGCUAACUACGUGCCAGCAGCCGCGGUAAUACGUAGGUGGCAAGCGUUGUCCGGAUUUAUUGGGCGUAAAGCGAGCGCAGGCGGUUUUUUAAGUCUGAUGUGAAAGCCUUCGGCUCAACCGAAGAAGUGCAUCGGAAACUGGGAAACUUGAGUGCAGAAGAGGACAGUGGAACUCCAUGUGUAGCGGUGAAAUGCGUAGAUAUAUGGAAGAACACCAGUGGCGAAGGCGGCUGUCUGGUCUGUAACUGACGCUGAGGCUCGAAAGUAUGGGUAGCAAACAGGAUUAGAUACCCUGGUAGUCCAUACCGUAAACGAUGAAUGCUAAGUGUUGGAGGGUUUCCGCCCUUCAGUGCUGCAGCUAACGCAUUAAGCAUUCCGCCUGGGGAGUACGGCCGCAAGGCUGAAACUCAAAGGAAUUGACGGGGGCCCGCACAAGCGGUGGAGCAUGUGGUUUAAUUCGAAGCUACGCGAAGAACCUUACCAGGUCUUGACAUACUAUGCAAAUCUAAGAGAUUAGACGUUCCCUUCGGGGACAUGGAUACAGGUGGUGCAUGGUUGUCGUCAGCUCGUGUCGUGAGAUGUUGGGUUAAGUCCCGCAACGAGCGCAACCCUUAUUAUCAGUUGCCAGCAUUAAGUUGGGCACUCUGGUGAGACUGCCGGUGACAAACCGGAGGAAGGUGGGGAUGACGUCAAAUCAUCAUGCCCCUUAUGACCUGGGCUACACACGUGCUACAAUGGAUGGUACAACGAGUUGCGAACUCGCGAGAGUAAGCUAAUCUCUUAAAGCCAUUCUCAGUUCGGAUUGUAGGCUGCAACUCGCCUACAUGAAGUCGGAAUCGCUAGUAAUCGCGGAUCAGCAUGCCGCGGUGAAUACGUUCCCGGGCCUUGUACACACCGCCCGUCACACCAUGAGAGUUUGUAACACCCAAAGUCGGUGGGGUAACCUUUUAGGAACCAGCCGCCUAAGGUGGGACAGAUGAUUAGGGUG